AAAAAGAACCUGAAACCGUGUACGUACAAGCAGUGGGAGCACCUUCGGGUGUGACUGCGUACCUUUUGUAUAAUGGGUCAGCGACUUAUAUUCUGUAGCAAGGUUAACCGUAUAGGGGAGCCGCAGGGAAACCGAGUCUUAACUGGGCGUUAAGUUGCAGGGUAUAGACCCGAAACCGGUGAUCUAGCCAUGGGCAGGUUGAAGGUUGGGUAACACUAACUGGAGGACCGAACCGACUAAUGUUGAAAAAUUAGCAGAUGACUUGUGGCUGGGGGUGAAAGGCCAAUCAAACCGGGAGAUAGCUGGUUCUCCCCGAAAGCUAUUUAGGUAGCGCCUCGUGAACUCAUCUUCGGGGGUAGAGCACUGUUUCGGCUAGGGGUCAUCCCGACUUACCAACCCGAUGCAAACUACGAAUACCGAAGAAUGUUAUCACGGGAGACAC
rnacentral:rRNA from 1 species